GGUUCAAAGGGCACAUAAUUAUUGUUCCAAAUAGAGCACAGAACAUACAUAAAGCAAGUACGUAUCAGAAGAAGAAGCACUGAAGAAAGAAGAGCUCAGGAACAAUGGCCCACCUGACACUAAUUGCCAGAGCCAGUGAUGGACUACCUCUGUCCUCAUCCAUUGUCAAUGAAGAGUCUGGCCGGGAUUAUGCUGAAUACCAACCCAAGGCCAAGCAGAUAUUCCGCAAGCUGUCGUCAGUCAGCCCCCCUCGAUGCUCAAUCGAGUGUGACCCGGGUCGUAUGGUGUUCCACUACAUCCUUGAGGAGGGGAUAUGCUACCUCGCCCUGUGUGACCCCACCUAUCCUGCCAAGCUGGCCUUUAACUACCUCGAGAAUCUACACAAAGACUUCAGUGAGCAACAUGGCAACGAUGUACACAAGAUCUCAGUGACAAAGCGGGGAAGCUGGUCGACCACUCUCGUGUGCCAGAGGCUAAUGGCUGAUCAGCUGAUGCAGCAUGUGAGCAUCUCCUGGCUACUGUGGAUUGGUUCUGGACUGCUAGUUCAUGCUCUUGUCUAUUGGAGACAAUAUCUGCCAAGUUUCACCAGAGAUGUGUACAAGUAUGGUAAGCUGAGGAGUGAGAGUGACUGGAGCUGGAUGAUCCCUAGUGUGCCCAAGACUCAAGGAGGUGGUUCACCCACUUCUACGUGUGGGGGGUGGUGUGAAACUACUCUGUAUUCCUCUACUAUACCAGCCACUGUCCACUGCACACACGACUACCGCUAUUGGGACCAACAGCACUGCUGCAUUUGAAUUCAUGUAUAGUCAUACCGUAUAGCGGGUAUUUUUCGGGGGACAAAAUAUUUGUUGUUUAGCAAUAUUGAGACAUUUCGUGGGUAAUAUUUUCGUGGUUGGAGCAGGUAAAGGUAGGCAAAGUCGCUUCAUUCGUGGUUAGAGGUCCAACCACGAACACCACAAAUAUUUUGCCCUACGAAAAUUACCCACCUCUGUACGGUAUUCAGUCUAGUAAUAGUCCUAUUCUCGUUUAAGAACCUGGAAUUUUGAUUGCUAUUUCAACGCCCACUAACUACUUCCUGUAUAGCUUCCGCAGUAAAAUUGUGCUGAGCUGGCACACCUUUUUACAUUGAAGUCAUUGUAAAAUCAAUGCCUUUUUGCAGCCUCUGCAUUCUGCAUAUGGAACGCCGUUUGCGACAAAAUUCAGGCAGAAUGUGAUAGGCGUGUGCAUCCAAUAUAAAAUCGAUUUUUAAUAAUCGAUUUUUUACAGUUGAUUUUCGAUUUAUACGUGAACGAUCUUUGACAAUCGAUCUGAUAAUCGAUUUUUGAAAUUCCAAUUUUGAUAAUCGAUUUUUGAUAAUCGAUUAUUGAAAUUCGAUUUUUGAUAAUCCAUUUUAGAACUGCUCUGAGGUGGGCUGGGGGGGCCCCCCCUGUCUAAAGCUGUAUCACGUGAGACUAUCCUUAGAGCAUUAAAGAAGCCACUAUUCAUGACUUCUAUUCUACACAUUUUAUGUAUCUGGAAUCACCAAACUCUUUCUCAGCUCUCUAAGCACACACAAGAUAGCCAAAUAAAACAGUGCUGGCGAGAAAGCAUACAAAAAUGGGUGCACAAAGGAACUAAAUAAGAUAGCAUCAACUGAACAGUUCUAAAAUUAAUGAUUUUUACUGUGACUUAUGGCCCUUCUUUUUUAUGGUUCCAAAAAACAAUAAUAUUUCGCUUUUGCGUUUAUAUAGUCUAUCAUGUGAGAUAGCUAACCAAGCCAAGCUUUGAUUCCAGGCCGCGGAGAAGGAGUUUGUGCAUGUUCUGAGUUUCAAGGGCGGCCUAACUGUAGCCUUGAAUCCAUUUUAAUCGGCCUGGAUUCGAGGCUAGUGUCAAUUCAAAAAUCGAUUAUCAAAAAUCGAAUUUCAAAAAUCGAUUAUCAGAUCGAUUGUCAAAGAUCGUUCACGUGUAAAUCGAAAAUCAACUGUAAAAAAUCGAUUAUUAAAAAUCGAUCUUCAAAAAUCGAUUUUAUAUUGGAUGCACACGCCUAUCAGAUUCUGCCUGAAUUUUGUCGCAAACGGCGUUCCAUAUCUGCAAUGCAUGCGCUAUUAUUCUAAAUAAAGGAAGUUUGUGAAAUAUUGAAGUAAGAGCUACACAAUGGUUUUUGUCCCAGAGAGUGUUUGUCAACUGUCAGUGAGCUAGCUGGUCUUGAAGAUACCUACUAUAUACACAACUCACCCCUUGCUGGCCUGAUUGUAGCCACUCUGUUGUUCCUCUGGGCCUACACACAUCAGUACCGAUGUCACGUCAUCCUUGCACAACUCAGAGCAGUCAAGAACAAGCCACAGUACGACGGCUGUCACUGCCAAGCAGACUCACGUUUCUAUAGACACAAGUUUGAGGACUAUCCAAACAACAGACAAAUUAUUGUUAUGACCAUUUGUUUAUUAGUUUCUAAUAUAAUUUAUGCUAUGUACAUGCAGUACUGUAUGGUAUCAUUCAUAUUCUCCAAUCAAUAAUCUAUCAAAUUAAUGAUAGAAAAAACUAAUUUUGAAUUUGCAGUGAAUAAUAAUUGACGCUUCUUA